rnacentral:rRNA from 1 species
CCAAUAGCGUAUAUUAAAGUUGUUGCAGUUAAAAAGCUCGUAGUUGAACUUCGGGGUUUACCCAUUGGUCAGGCUUAAUUGUCUGUACUGGUGAGAUGAAUCUCUACCUUCUGAGGAACUUUCAUGCCAUUUAUUUGGUGUGAUUGGAAAUCAGGACUGUUACUUUGAAAAAAUUAGAGUGUUUAAAGCAGGCUAACGUCUGAAUACAUUAGCAUGGAAUAAUGAAAUAGGACGGAUUGAUUCUAUUUCGUUGGUUUCUAGGAUCACCGUAAGGAUUAAUAGGGAUAGUUGGGGGCAUUAGUAUUCAAUUGUCAGAGGUGAAAUUCUUGGAUUUAUUGAAGACUAACUACUGCGAAAGCAUUUGCCAAGGAUGUUUUCAUUAAUCAAGAACGAAAGUUAGGGGAUCGAAGACGAUCAGAUACCGUCGUAGUCUUAACCAUAAACUAUGCCGACUAGGGAUCGGACGAAGUUAAUUUUAUAAUGACGCGUUCGGCACCUUACG